rnacentral:rRNA from 1 species
GUCGACGGGAAGAAUGAAGAGCUUGCUCUUUAUGAAAUCCAGUGGCAAACGGGUGAGUAACACGUAAACAACCUGCCUUCAGGAUGGGGACAACAGACGGAAACGACUGCUAAUACCGAAUACGAUUCUUGAGUCGCAUGACACAAGAAAGAAAGGGUGGCCUCUACUUGUAAGCUAUCGCCUGGAGAGGGGUUUGCGUCCGAUUAGGUAGUUGGUGAGGUAACGGCCCACCAAGCCGACGAUCGGUAGCCGGUCUGAGAGGAUGAACGGCCACAUUGGAACUGAGACACGGUCCAGACUCCUACGGGAGGCAGCAGUGGGGAAUCUUCCGCAAUGGGCGAAAGCCUGACGGAGCAACGCCGCGUGAGUGAAGACGGCCUUCGGGUUGUAAAACUCUGUGAUUCGGGACGAAAGAUAAGCAGACGAAUAAUCUGCAUAAGUGACGGUACCGAAAAAGCAAGCCACGGCUAACUACGUGCCAGCAGCCGCGGUAAUACGUAGGUGGCAAGCGUUGUCCGGAAUUAUUGGGCGUAAAGCGCGCGCAGGCGGCUACUUAAGUCCAUCUUAAAAGUGCGGGGCUUAACCCCGUGAUGGGAUGGAAACUGAGAAGCUGGAGUGUCGGAGAGGAAAGUGGAAUUCCUAGUGUAGCGGUGAAAUGCGUAGAGAUUAGGAAGAACACCGGUGGCGAAGGCGACUUUCUGGACGACAACUGACGCUUAGGCGCGAAAGCGUGGGGAGCAAACAGGAUUAGAUACCCUGGUAGUCCACGCCGUAAACGAUGGAUACUAGGUGUAGGAGGUAUCGACCCCUUCUGUGCCGGAGUUAACGCAAUAAGUAUCCCGCCUGGGAAGUACGAUCGCAAG